rnacentral:lncRNA from 1 species
UUAGUCAACAGUUCAGUAGUUAUAAAUCUAGAUGUAGAGCAAAAACAGUGAAUAUAGGCUUCACCUUUUUCUAAAUGGAUGUUUCUUUCAUACCUGCAGUAAGACAGAAGAGAAGGAUUGUGUACUGCAUUUCUAGUUUAAGAUCUUCACGGUAUUUUCACUGAAGGCAUUUGCGACGGUUCUGCAGCUAAAUAACAUUAAACCUUGGUGUGUGAAAUGACCUUGAUGUACUGCACCAGCUUCACACUCAAUCAGUGGAGAAAAAAUAAAAAUAAAAAAAAAAUAGUGUGAAUGUGUCAGAUAAAGAUGUUCCAAUCUGCUUUAAUCCUGACUCCAGUUACCCAGAAACUGUCUAUCCAGUUGUAUGUGAAAACCUGGAGUAACGGCUAUUGAGCCAAAUUUCAUCAUCUGCCAGGCUGCUCAGGCCAAGAGGCAGCAGGAAGCUGUUGACAAUGGAGAGAGGCCCCAAGACAGGCCAUAAUAGCACAAGCCAAGUGCUAGGAAUUUAGCAGCUGAGAGAAGAUGAGCAACAAGACAAAAAUGUUAUCCUGGCAAGGAAGUGCUCAAGGAUGUAAUUAACAAUGGGUGGCACAGAAAGGUGUGGGGCUUUCCUGUCCCAUGGUGUCUGUCUUGUGGAAGUUCAGCCUUCACAGUUCCUGGGGAAGUUGUGUCACAGCUGAGAGCCAUGUCUCUGCAAGGGCAAACCAUGCCACAUGGGCAGCAAUUUUCUAGUGCUCCCUUUCUAAAGCUGAGGCCACCUUCAUGCUUUAGUUUUAAAGCAUGGCUGACAAGAUAAUUUAUCUCAUAUUUUUACUAGUGCAGUUUUUCAGCCAUUUUUUUUAUUGCAAGUUAUAAUUUAAUUUGUGUAUCUCUGAAAAAAAUGUUUUGAAUUCCUCGUGGUAGUCAAGAUCUUUUUCAGUCUAUUUUUUAACCAUUUUUAAAUUGUAUUGCCUCUUUGGUAAAUAUCAGUAAUUUAAUAUUUAUGGAUUUUGUUCUUUUACAUAUAAAUGUUUCUCCUAGGAUUAAGCUUGAAAUAAAUUGCUUCAUGUUGUUACCCA